AUUGAACGCUGGCGGCAGGCCUAUCACCUGCAAGUCGAACGAGUGGCGGACGGGUGAGUAAUGUCUGUGAAACUGCCUGAUGGAGGGGGAUAACUACUGGAAACGGUAGCUAAUACCGCAUACCCUCGGAUGUGCCCGGCUGGGAUUAGCUAGUAGGUGGGGUAACGGCUCACCUAGGCGACGAUCCCUAGCUGGUCUGAGAGGAUGACGAGCAACACGGGAACUGAGAAACGGUUCAGACUCCUUCGGGAGGCGGCAGGGGGGAAGAUGGAUCAAUGGGCGCAAGCCUGAUGCAGGCAUGCCGCGUGUAUGAAGAAGGCCUUCGGGUUGUAAAGCACUUUCAGCGGGGAGGCGUUACCCGCAGAAGAAGCACCGGCUAAUGCUGUUCCAGCAGCCGCGGUAAUUC
rnacentral:rRNA from 1 species